CUAAGACGGACCCGUGCAAAACGGGAAAGGGAUGGGAAAGAUGCGCAGAGAUUUCGAGGUUCCAAACCCUGCCGCCUCUCCGUUCCCCGCUUGCUGCUCGCCCUGCCCCCUCGAGUCCUCUCCAGGGGGCGGCAAUUUUGGCCCCGUAACGAUUACUUAAAAUGCCAGCUUUUAUUACUAUUUUGCCGAGAGGGGUGGGGAAUUAAUUCGAUUUAAAGUUGGCCUUCUGCGAAACGUUCCCAGUAAACUUGGGGGCCACACUUCUCCCGGUAGGAUCUUUCCUUUCUGCCUAACUCCAGCGCUCCCCACACGGGGUUAAAUCUCCGGGCACAGGACCCACAGCCCGGCUCUGCCCCGCGGCACUUGGCAGCGAGGCGGCCCGAGCACAGCCGGCCGGCGGGGCGUGAGCCAGGCUUUCGGGACUAGGGGCAGUCCUGACUCGCACCGGGCUCAUCCGUGCUCUUUUUUUUUAGCCUAGGGGAAGAGGGCAUGGGCUGGGCGCGCAGCAGAGCCCGGUGUUAUGGGGCGCUCCUUUUCCCCUCCCUGGGGCAUUUGGUGACCGCACUUAGGGGGUGAAUUCGAGUUCUCUGGCCCGGGCGUUUAGAGGACGCCUUUCCCUCGCAGCCUUGAGGGCACACCCGGCCCGUGCAGGGGACAGGAAUUGCCGCACCCUGAGCUACUGUCAUCCCUGAAUUGCCAGCUCUGUCUCGCCCUGCCUCCUCCCUGUGCAAAGGGAAGCUGAAGCUGAGGCACCUCCUCUCCUCAGACAAAACUGUCUUCUAGCGCAAAGACAUGUCCUCGCUCCUCUGUGUCACACCGUCUGGUUCACAGCUCGGUAGUGAUUUUGGCAGGUGGCUCCGAGGGAGUCAUCGCGGAGCUCUGUGCGCCCUGAAUUAUUUCCGAUGGACGCACCGGGUGCCUCCCCGUGUGUCACAGCGCGGGCAGCACACGGGGCAAAGUCCUAUCUGCUUCCCUUUCCCUCCACCGGCAGCUUUCUUAUGUCUAUGAACCCCGCCACGGACCUCUUCCCAACGAGAAAGUAGGGAAGAGAUGGUCCUGGGGGUCAUUCACCUUCCCGGCGUCGAGGUUCCCCAGUCGGUCUGAGUUACCGAGCUCACCCCUGAGUGUCCCCACCAGCCCGGCUCCCAGAUGCCGGACGGAUCAUUCAUACUCCCUCCUGCCUGUUCUGCCGGCCCGCAAGACGAGCCGCAAGAACAUUUAGAUAAAUCUGGCUUCUGAUUCUCUGCGGGGAGUUUAAGCUUGGUUAUUCUUCUCACUGUUGCUUUCCACUGUUGCUUCCCAGUUCUCCCUGCCCCAAUGCAGCCCGGCUGGGAAGAAGCUCAACGCGGCUGAUUUCCCCCGGCUCACUGACACAUAAAUAGAUUUGUUGGUGGUUUUGCUUUUUUGUUUUUUGGUUUUUUUUUUUCUCUAAAGUAAUUUUUGGCAGUGGCCGGCUUGCGCCCGUGGGGCCACUUGCAGCUCAGGCGGCCCCAGGGCCGGCAGAGGCGGCGCUCCGCUCCGCUCCGUCCGGGACAGACGCCCCGCGGAGGACGCGCGGCUGCGGGGUGAGCUCGCUCCCCGGCGGGGUCGGGAGGAAGCACCCCCCGCCCCGUCCUCAGCCCAGGCUGGAGUCCCGGAGUCGGUAUUUUCGGAAGGAGAAAGGAAGGAUUCAGACGGGUCCCCGGGCAGAGCAGUCUCAACCCUGCGGCCACCGGAUCCGGGAGAGCCCUUCCGAUGAGCGGCUUGGGAUGUUGCAAAGGAGAGAAAAGAAAGGAUAAGAGAAGAAAUCCGUAUGUGGCUGUCUUGUCCACUGUGCUGUCUCCCAGCUAUUCAGCCUAGCAGAGUUUGGGUUUUUUUCCAAGCCCGCUUCCCACAGGAGAGAAGUUCACCGAGUGCAACAGGUCGCUUCAGCUGCUCCCGGGACCUCACGAAACCAAGUGCCCACUCCCUGUCCUUCCUCCUCCGGCUCCCCGCGUCGCUACUUUGCUCUGGGAUAGGCUUUGAAGGGGAUGCGGGACGUCCCGCUUGGACAAGACGCGGAGCCGUCGCCCCUGCGCAGCCUCUGCAGAGGAGCAAGAGGAGAAGGAUGAGGAUGCUGUGUCCCUGAAUUACGGCACUGUGGUACCUUUCCGCGCGUCUCUGCCAUUCCCCCUCACACCCCACACCCCCUUCUGAGACCGCCUAUGUCCCCGGCCCGGUGUGUGAAUCCCCAGUGCGUUGUCAGGAGGCUGAUCCGUUUGGAAAUCAGCAAAUAAAUACUUAAAAAUACAUACAAA